GUUCCAGAAUGUUGUGCAGAUGAAUUCUUCAAGGGAGAUGGGGAAAUAUUAAAGCAGUUAUGCUUGUAAAACUGCACCUGGAAUUGUCUUUACAAUGCUGGUCACCCAUGCCAGAAACAUGAAUUCAUCUGGGGCAGGUGCAGUGAGCGGCUGUGGGGAUUAGCAGUGAGUAGUAAAAUAUAGAGGAGUAAACUGGAAGAGUUUGCCUUGUUUGUCCUAGUAGAAUAAAGGCUAAGGAAGAAUGCAACUGUGAUUUAUAAACACAAUAGUGAAUUAAACACAAGGAGUGAGAAGGCAUAUUUAAGCAGAAGAACAAUAUUGCCUUGAGCAAAUAGGUGUGUGGCUCAGCUGCAAUCAGUUUUUAACAAAACAUUCUGAAUUGGAGAAAGAAUCCAGAGUUCUCUAUAGAUGAGACAGAUUUUAAUACAUUUAUAGAGAUGAAUGCAUGAAAUUCUUACCUGUAAAGAGAGAUCUGGCUCACAAGGUCCCUGCUGUGUGUUCCAAAGCUUUCUGUUGUUAAUAAUGUUUUCAUUUUGAUUUUGGUUAGGUAGAUAUUGUGUACCAGUCUCAGAUAGUGGAACUCCUUUUUGAACUAAAUACUUGCAAAUGCAAGUCUGAUCUUGGACUAAAUCACACAGACUCUAGUCCAGAGAGGUAUUAAUUCAAAAAUGCAUCCACCUUGAAAGAUUUCAGCUUAGGAACGUGAAAGUGGGGAACCUCCUUCACCAUAGUUUUGCUUCCUCAUCCCCACUUGUGUGUGGCAGCCCCCUGGCUUCCCAUUUGUUUCUCCAGGUGCCCUACGCUGCUGAGCUGAAGAAUCCUUUUACUACUGUUCAACAGCAACCAUGGGAGGAUGCCCAUGCUAGAAGAAAUUCUGAAGAAUUUGUGUCAGAACAAUCAUUUGCCUCUAUCAUCUGAAUGCUCAUUUGAAGGAUACUGGAAACUGGAUUCAGUGCUCUGUUUUACAAAGAAGUAGAGCAGGUGACAGUAUGGUCUAAGACAUUAAACAUUCAGGAAGAUUCCACAUGUUACUGUAUCACAAUAGUUUUCCCUCACCCUACACUCCUUAUGUGUGCAAGCUGUAAACUGUGACUGAAAACAACGAUGUAAAAUCAAAUCUACAAACUUAAAACUCCAUACUUUUUCCAGCUUUAGAAAAACAGAAACUACAGCAAUAACAACUGCUUCUCAGUUGUUUAAUUUGUCUCCUGGUGUACUAACAUUAUAGCUGGGAAACUUAUUUCAAGCUACUUUUGUUCUGAAUGAGCUUCCAUGAAGGAAUAGAUGGCAUUACUUGUAUGGAGGGUUACACUAUAGAAAAUAAAACGAACACUAAAAAAUUAACCACUGAUUAUAGAGAAUUACAAUGAAGACAGAAAAGGAUUAAUCAGCAUCUUCUCCCUGAAGAAGUCUGCAAUUCAUCCUUCUGAUGAUGGAUGUAACCAGAGAUCUGCAAGAUUUGUAUACAUAGAAGGUACUUCAUCUUCUGCUGAGAGUUUGUUAGAAUGAGGAUGGAGGGAGUUGUUGUUUGUUUGCUUUUAAAAUCAACUAUGUCUAUGCUGUUUUCUUGAUUUCAUUUGUAUUUACUUGUUGGCAAAUGGACUCUCAAUAACUUUGUUCCAUUACAGCUUGUCUGGUUGUUUCCAUUACCAAAGUCUAUGUUCCAGAGAGAAAUCA